GACUGGGUGGCCAAGUUGGUUAAGGCGUGAGACUGUUAGAGUUUUCUAUUGCAAUCUCAAGAUCGAGAGUUCGACCCUCUCCCUGGUCG
rnacentral:tRNA from 1 species